AUGGCUCAUGGUCCCAAGAAACAUCUGAAGCGGGUAGCAGCUCCAAAGCAUUGGAUGCUGCAUAAAUUGACCGGUGUGUUUGCUCCUCGUCAUCCACUGGUCCCCACAAGCUGAGCGAGUGUCUCCCUCUCAUCAUUUUUCUAAGAAACAGACUUAAGUAUGCUCUGACUGGAGAUGAAGUAAAAAGAUCUGCAUGCAGCAGUUCAUUAAGAUCGAUGGCAAGGUCCGAACUGAUAUAACCUCCCCUGCUGGGUUUAUGGAUGUCAUCAGCAUUGACAAGACUGGAGUUUCCUCCUGAUCUACGACACCAAGGGUCGGUUUGCUGUUCAUCGUAUCACACCUGAGGAGGCUAAGUACAAGUUGUGCAAAGUAAGAAAGAUCUUUGUGGGCACAAAAGGAAUUCCUCAUCUGGUGACUCAUGAUGCUCGCACCAUCCGCUACCCUGAUCCCCUCAUCAAGGUGAAUGACACCAUUCAGAUUGAUUUGGAGGCUGGCAAAAUUACUGAUUUUAUCAAGUUUGACACUGGUAACCUGUGUAUGGUGACUGGAGGUGCUAACCUGGGAAGAAUUGGUGUGAUCACCAACAGAGAAAGACAUCCUGGAUCUUUUGAUGUGGUUCAUGUAAAAGAUGUUGAAAGCCAGAACCUGUGGAUUAGGAACUGGCCUGUAGCAGGGCUCUUCCCACAGCUUCCCAUGAAAUUCAAUGGAAAAUCUGGCCAGAGACCAGGUCAGCUCACCCUCAAGAGCAGCCUCUGCUACCCUGCUGGUGUGACCAAGACAGGAGACUUUGCCCUGGGGACCCAUCACCCGUCAGGAGCUGACAUCCCCAAUCCCCUGGAAAGGUCUCACUCCAUUUCCUGGGUGCAAGGUCUCCUACUGCAGGCCAAAUUUCUCCUGAGUGGAUGGGCUCAGAAAGGAUACCAGGAAGGUGCUCAUGAUUCUGCAGACAUUUCCCCCAGAUCUUGGGGGGCUAGCAUGCAGAGAAAGGACGCUUGGGGUGUGGUAGUGGAGAUUAAGUGGGCACCCAGAGAAGAGGCAGAUGUCCGUUCAUCAGCUAUGUCCUGGGGGCUUCUCAGGCCUGACACUGUUACUGUGUUAUGA